UGGAGUUCUCCUCUUUUGGACAUCUUGGACUCUUAGUGGCAGAACCUGGGGCAGACAGUCUUCAUAACAAUAGUUGGAUGGGUGUCAAUCCUGCUUCUCCUAAGAGUAUAAUAAGCCGAGAUGCCUGGAAGCAGUUAACCUGACAUAAGCCACUACAAGUCCCAGGAGACAUGGCUCAUAGACAAAGCCCACCCAGCAUCUUUGAGCAUAGAAUCUAAUCCGCAUAUCUAAUUGGACUGCAAGAUUGUGUAGACAACAACAGGAAUCUUCCAGCAUCUGAACUUUGUGCAAGUUUAUAUACACUGCAGCGGAAUGCGAAGCAAUACAAUACAGCGUGUUACCCACCUUAAACGUUUCAGUCCGCAUGUUGCUCAAAGGCUAAUAAAAAUGUCCCCAAUUUGUGAAUGGCUCUGUAGAUUUUACACCCUGUUUGUGCACUGAGACUAUGUUUGACUAAGGAAAUAUGUAUAGAGAAUUCCAUGGACUAGAAUAAAAUAAAAACCACCCAUGCAUUAAUG